UCAUUCAGCAAAUACAUAUGACGCAAUCACGAUGUAUCAGGUUCACUCCUACUAGAUGUACAUGAACAAGGCCUUUCCCUGAAGGAAAAGUGGAAUAGACAUGAGAUUAAGCAUGCAAAUUACAGCCUCUUCCUCAGAGAGCUGCCGAUAGCAACUAACCCUGACAAAAGUCAAUCACAAUAUCAGUUCCUUCCUCUACAGAGUGUUAAAAGUUUCUCGGCUGGGUGUGAGCCACUGCACCUGGCAGAGGUCAGAGACUCUGUGAGCAAGUGACUUCCUAAUACUUUAUAAGACUUAAGCCUAAAAUGAG
ensembl:lncRNA novel transcript